rnacentral:rRNA from 1 species
UAGAGUCGAUAAGAGCGCGGGUCUAGGUAUCUCAGGUGAAGACUAUCGAUUUCGGGCAAGACACAGGGGGCCACUUCGAAUGCCAGUGAAUAGGACUCAUUUAAAUUUUCAUUAUAAUUUGUUGAGGUACUGCUACUCGUAACGAUAUUAGACUAAACGUCUAACAAAGCCGAUUGAGGGGCGAUUUAUAGUAAAAGGCGGGUGCUACUGAUCGAUAUCAUGAUAACUGACGGAUGCACGGCGUUUGUGCGGCGACGCAGCUCAUUCAAUCUGCCCUAUCAACUUGCGAUGGUAGAUAGGGGCCAUACCAUGGUGGUGACGGGUGACAGGAGAAUUAGGGUUCGAUUCCGGAUGAAGAGGAGCCUGAGACACGUACACAUCCAAGGAAGCAGCAGGCGCGCAAAUUACCCAAUCCUGACACGGGGAGUAGGACAAUAAAUAACAAUACUCGGGCGUUCAGUGUUGGCGUAAAUUGACAUGAGUACCAAUUAAAUCGCCUUAAUAGGAAUCAUUGGAGGCAGCAGUUGGUGCCAGCAGCCUGGUAUCAACUCCAAUAGCGUAUAUUUAAGUUGUUGCAAGUUAAAAGCCGUAGUUUGGGCCUUGGCCGGGUCGGCCGGUCGCUUCCGGAUCGAGAACCGACUACGACUCUGCCGGGAUGCCUCAUGCCCUUAUAUUGGUCCGGUCGUUCUCCGCCGCCGUUACUUGAAGCAUUAGAAGUGUCAACAGAACCUUAUCGCUCUGGAUACAUUAGAUGGGAAACAUCAUAGGAUUCGGUCUAUUGUGUGGCUCGGAUCGAGUAUAAUGAUUAAUAGGACAGUGGGGCAUUCGUAUUUGCACUAGUCAGAGGUAAAUUUCUUGAUUUAAUGAAAGACGAUCAACUGCGAAAGCAUGCCACGUAUUUAAUUAAUCAUAGAAGAAAUGGGGCUCGAAGACGAGUCAGAAUACCUGUCCAGUCAACAUAUACGAUGCUCGACCAGGACGCGGAUGUUCUUAUAGGAUCCGCCGGCACCUUAGAGAAUCAAAGUCUUUGGUUCGGGAGUAUGGCGAAAGGCUGAAACUAAAAGAUUUGACGGAAGGGCAUCCGACCAUGCGGGAGACGCCUUGCGGCUUAAUUGACUCAAACACGGGUGAAACUUACAGGUCCAGACAUAUGCAAGGGAUUUGACAGCUGAGAGCUCAUCUUGGAUUUCUAUGUGAUGGUCAUUGGCCAGGUUCUUGGUUGGGAGCGAUUCUGUUAAGUCGUUAACGUGACGAGACCGCCUGUAACCUAGCUUCGGAGCCAUCGUCGCACUCAGUUCUUAGAGGGAUGGUUAGCCACGACGUUGAGGCAUAACGGUCUGUGCCUGAGAGUUUGGCCCACCCGCUACAGCUGAUUUAUUCAACGGUAAUUAGGAUGGGGAUAGAUCAUUGCAAUUGUUGGUCUUCAACGAGGAAUGCCUAGUAAGCGCGAGUCAUCAGCUCGCGUCGACUACGUCCCUGCCCUUUGUACACACCGCCCGUCGCUCCUACCGAUUGAAUGGUCCGGUGAAGUGUUCGGAUCGCGGCGACGGAGGCGGUUCGCCGCCCCCGACGUCGCGAGA